UACAGAGGGUGCAAGCGUUGUUCGGAAUUAUUGGGCGUAAAGGGCGCGUAGGCGGCCUGGCAAGUGGAAGGUGAAAUCCCUCGGCUUAACCGAGGAACUGCCUCCCAAACUGCUUGGCUUGAGACCGGGAGAGGUGAGUGGAAUUCCCAGUGUAGCGGUGAAAUGCGUAGAGAUCUGGAGGAACACCGAUGGCGAAGGCAGCCUUCUGGGCCAACACUGACGCUCAUGCACGAAAGCGUGGGGAGCAAACAGG
rnacentral:rRNA from 1 species